rnacentral:tRNA from 6 species
GCCGGGAUGGCGGAAGGGUAGACGCAUUCGACUUAAAAUCGAACGGGAAACCGUGCGGGUUCAAGUCCCGCUCUCGGCACCA